rnacentral:rRNA from 1 species
CCAAACUGUUGCCUCGGCGGGGUCACGCCCCGGGUGCGUAAAAGCCCCGGAACCAGGCGCCCGCCGGAGGAACCAACCAAACUCUUUCUGUAGUCCCCUCGCGGACGUAUUUCUUACAGCUCUGAGCAAAAAUUCAAAAUGAAUCAAAACUUUCAACAACGGAUCUCUUGGUUCUGGCAUCGAUGAAGAACGCAGCGAAAUGCGAUAAGUAAUGUGAAUUGCAGAAUUCAGUGAAUCAUCGAAUCUUUGAACGCACAUUGCGCCCGCCAGUAUUCUGGCGGGCAUGCCUGUCCGAGCGUCAUUUCAACCCUCGAACCCCUCCGGGGGAUCGGCGUUGGGGAUCGGGACCCCUCACCGGGUGCCGGCCCUGAAAUACAGUGGCGGUCUCGCCGCAGCCUCUCCUGCGCAGUAGUUUGCACAACUCGCACCGGGAGCGCGGCGCGUCCACGUCCGUAAAACACCCAACUUCUGAAAUGUUGACCUCGGAUCAGGUAGGAAUACCCGCUGAACUUAAGCAUAUCAAUAAGCCGGAGGAA